rnacentral:misc_RNA from 1 species
AAAAGUGUUGAUUGGCUGGAUAGGAUUCGUGCUGGAUAAGAAUGCCAAAUCCUUUGUAAAAUUUGUGCACUAGAUUGAUUUUAGAGGGGACAGGGAAAGUGGGAAAUAAAGAGGUUAGAAUUCUUCCAUUAACUGAUUUCAGUGUGUGUGGCUUGCUCAUUGAAAUUGCAUAAUAACUGUGUAAUGGGAUUGUAGAUGUUUGAUAUAUUGGGUGGGAUUUGUUAUCCUUAGUUAAUGGAAGAAUUCUAACCUCUUUAUUUCCCACUUUCCCUGUCCCCUCUAAAAU